rnacentral:rRNA from 1 species
CCUACGGGAGGCAGCAGUCGAGAAUCAUUCACAAUGGGGGAAACCCUGAUGGUGCGACGCCGCGUGGGGGAAUGAAGGUCUACGGAUUGUAAACCCCUGUUAUGUGGGAGCAAAUUAAAAAGAUAGUACCACAAGAGGAAGAGACGGCUAACUCUGUGCCAGCAGCCGCGGUAAUACAGAGGUCUCAAGCGUUGUUCGGAAUCACUGGGCGUAAAGCGUGCGUAGGCGGUUUGGUAUGGCGUGUGUGAAAGGCGAGGGCUCAACCCGCGGACGGCACAUGAUACUGCGAGACUAGAGUUAUGGUGAGGUAAGCGGAAUUGACGGUGUAGCAGUGAAAUGCGUAGAUAUC